rnacentral:rRNA from 1 species
UACGUAGGGGGCCAGCGUUGCUCGGAAUUACUGGGCGUAAAGGGUCCGUAGGCGGUGUAGCAAGUCGAUAGUGAAAUCUCUGGGCUUAACCCAGAGGCUGCUAACGAAACUGCCGGGCUUGAGUGUGGGAGAGGUGAGUGGAAUUUCCGGUGUAGCGGUGAAAUGCGUAGAUAUCGGAAGGAACACCUGUGGCGAAAGCGGCUCACUGGACCACAACUGACGCUGAUGCACGAAAGCUAGGGGAGCAAACAG